AGACGCGCCAUGAAGACAGUGCUGCUGCUCCUCAUCGUCCUGGCUGCGGCCGUGGGCCCAGCCCAGGCUCUCCAAUGCCACGUGUGCACCAGCUCCACCAACUGUAAGAAGCCACAGAGCUGCCAGGCCAGCGCGCGCUACUGCCGGAC